GGGGUGCGGACUAUUGCUUCGAAUGCAUUGGCUUAGCAUCUAUAAUGAAUGAUGCAUUCCAAAGUUCUAGAAAGGGUUGGGGAAAGACAAUCAUUCUAGGAGUGGAAAUGCAUGGAUCACCCUUAUCUAUUAGUGCUCCUGAAAUUUUGCAAGGAAAAUGUAUCACAGGUUCAUUGUUUGGGGGAAUCAAAGCCAAGAGGGAUAUUCCGG
rnacentral:misc_RNA from 1 species